ACCGGGAUGUAAUUAAGGGCAAUUGUUGGGAGGCUGUGGCUGUGAGCGAGUGAUGGAUGACUUGGGUACGUAGAAUUUGGUCAUGUUGGGUUUGAUGGUGGUUGUGAUGCAUUGCGAUUGCGUUGUUGGGUUUUGUUUGGGCCUGUCGGUCGUGGACCGUGAUGAUUAGAGUAGUGGCCUAGCUAGCAAGGUCGCUGCAUGCUGUCACGUGAUCGCCGGCAGUGGGGCCUCCAUGCAUCGCCGGGAGUAUAGAUCAAGUGCGUGCGUUAGCUUUUGGAGGUAUUGCCUCUUUUGCCCUCGUGUUGCAUGCAAGCAUCAUGCCUGCAUGUCACCUACGCUACCGAGCAUGGUGCUGUAUCUGUAUGGGAAUGGGAUCGGGUCGUACCUACAUGUUGUAGUAUCAUUGUUCAACUAGUGUACUCAAUGCAAUCACCUGCCGUGCUAGCCAUCUAGCUAGGGCCGUCCGUCUCCCGUGGACUGGCCAGCUAGACUUGACCCGUGCCGUACGAUGCGUAUCUUACGGCCACGCUCCGCUGUCGUCGAUCGCUCUCUCUCCAAAUACUCGCGACAAUGUGUCCACUCGCCUUUCCCCGUAAAGGCGUCUUACCAUCUACUGAUCAUGGAUCGUGCAACAUAUCUUGCGAAUUAAGUAAUCUUCGAUACACUGAUGCUACAUUUUAAAAAGAGGAAGAGGGCCACAACGUACAAUGCGAUUUACACAUCACCUACUCUAAAUGAUAAGAAUUCGGUUUUGCUAAAAACACAUCUAGAUGUGAGAUAAGUAUUGCAUAUCUAAGUGAUAUAUC
rnacentral:lncRNA from 1 species